CAAUAGCGUAUAUUAAAGUUGUUGCGGUUAAAAAGCUCGUAGUUGGAUUUCUGCUGAGAACGACCGGUCCGCCCUUUGGGUGUGUAUCUGGCUCUUUCUUGGCAUCUUCUUGGUGAACGUUGCUGCACUUGACUGUGUGGAGCGCUACCCAGGACUUUUACUUUGAGGAAAUUAGAGUGUUUCAAGCAGGCAUACGCCUUGAAUACAUUAGCAUGGAAUAAUAAGAUAGGACCUCGGUUCUAUUUUGUUGGUUUCUAGAGCUGAGGUAAUGAUUAAUAGGGAUAGUUGGGGGCAUUCGUAUUUAACUGUCAGAGGUGAAAUUCUUGGAUUUGUUAAAGACGGACUAUUGCGAAAGCAUUUGCCAAGGAUGUUUUCAUUGA
rnacentral:rRNA from 1 species